GUCACCUCAGUCCUGAGGGCAGAGACUGGCUUCUUACUCCACUUCCCUCUCCUCUCUGUCCCCCCAUCUCAGUGUGUGUUCCAGAGGUGACAAGGGCUUCUCCACCCACAGAAGCCUCCCCCUGGGGAGGACUCACACAGACCCAUCCUAGAAGAAAAUGGGCUAUCAAGCCCCAAGAGCCCUGGCUGAUUCCUGGUGUGUUCCGGACUUGCCGAGGAUGGGACCAGCACACAGCAGGUGCUCAACAAACCUUCACAGGCCCCGUGGUGGACGUUGGGACAGCACAGUCCACAAUGCCUCGGACACCAUCUCCCGACCCAGCUCCCCUGCAGCAGCUUUUCUCUCCCCACUUUCUUCCCCAGACCCCCUCCCUGGGGCCCAGUGCCCGCAGCUUCUCUUGGGCCCCUCUCAGGACCAAGAUAAAGAUGAGGAAGAGCUUUCUCAAGGCUGGAGGCCCACUGAGGAGGCUGGUCCUCCCUCGGAGUGACAGCCAGGUGACCCUGGGGGCCUGGUGCUGCUGUGAGGGAGUUGGGGUUCACCUGUGCCCCAGCUGAAAACCCCACCACCCCCGGCGUCACCCUUUCUCCAAUAAGUUCUCAUGGUGAGCUCACGCCUUCCAUAGGUGUUAUUAAUAUGACAACCUCGCUGCCUCUCCCAGCCCCCGAGUCAGGUCAGGCUUUU
rnacentral:lncRNA from 1 species